CAGAACGAACGCUGGCGGCGUGCCUAACACAUGCAAGUCCAACGUGAAAGGGGAGCAAUCCCCCGGUAGGGUGGCAAACGGGUGAGUAAUACAUGGGUGAUCUACCUUAGGGAUGGGGAUAUCCUUCCGAAAGGAGGGGCAAUACCGAAUAUUGUCCGGAACCGUGAAGGGUUUCGGGGAAAGGGAGGCCUCUGACACAAGCUUUCGCCUUAAGAUGAGCCCAUGGCCCAUCAGCUAGUUGGUAGGGUAAAGGCCUACCAAGGCUACGACGGGUCGCUGGUCUGAGAGGACGACCAGCCACACUGGCACUGAGAUACGGGCCAGACUCCUACGGGAGGCAGCAGUGAGGAAUAUUGCGCAAUGGGGGAAACCCUGACGCAGCAACGCCGCGUGUGGGAAGAAGGCCUUCGGGUCGUAAACCACUUUUACUCGGGACGAAAAAGGGAUAUCAAAUAAAUAUCCCCGAUGACGGUACCGGGAGAAUAAGCCACGGCUAACUCUGUGCCAGCAGCCGCGGUAAGACAGAGGUGGCAAGCGUUGUUCGGAGUUACUGGGCGUAAAGAGUCUGUAGGUGGUUUGUCAAGUCUUUGGUGAAA
rnacentral:rRNA from 1 species